GUGUCAGCAGCCGCGGUAAUACGUAGGGUGCGAGCGUUAAUCGGAAUUACUGGGCGUAAAGCGUGCGCAGGCGGUUAUGUAAGACAGAUGUGAAAUCCCCGGGCUCAACCUGGGAACUGCAUUUGUGACUGCAUGGCUAGAGUACGGUAGAGGGGGAUGGAAUUCCGCGUGUAGCAGUGAAAUGCGUAGAUAUGCGGAGGAACACCGAUGGCGAAGGCGAGCCCCUGGACCUGUACUGACGCUCAUGUACGAAAGCGUGGGGAGCAAACAGGAUUAGAAACCCCGGUAGUCC
rnacentral:rRNA from 1 species